rnacentral:rRNA from 1 species
CCUACGGGCGGCAGCAGUGAGGAAUAUUGGUCAAUGGGCUUACGCCUGAACCAGCCAAGUCGCGUGAGGGAAGACUGCCCUAUGGGUUGUAAACCUCUUUUGUCAGGGAGCAACGCCGGCUACGUGUAGCCGGACUGAGAGUACCUGAAGAAAAAGCAUCGGCUAACUCCGUGCCAGCAGCCGCGGUAAUACGGAGGAUGCGAGCGUUAUCCGGAUUUAUUGGGUUUAAAGGGUGCGUAGGCGGAAUGCCAAGUCAGCGGUAAAAUCGCGGGGCUCAACCUCGCUCCGCCGUUGAACCUGGCGGUCUUGAGUUGGCGAGAAGUAUGCGGAAUGCGGGGUGUAGCGGUGAAAUGCAUAGAUAUCACGCAGAACUCCGAUUGCGAAGGCAGCAUACCGGCGCCCAACUGACGCUGAAGCACGAAAGCGUGGGUAUCGAACAGGAUUAGAUACCCGUGUAGUC